rnacentral:rRNA from 1 species
UACGUAGGGCGCAAGCGUUAUCCGGAAUUAUUGGGCGUAAAGAGCUCGUAGGCGGUUUGUCGCGUCUGCCGUGAAAGUCCGGGGCUCAACUCCGGAUCUGCGGUGGGUACGGGCAGACUAGAGUGAUGUAGGGGAGACUGGAAUUCCUGGUGUAGCGGUGAAAUGCGCAGAUAUCAGGAGGAACACCGAUGGCGAAGGCAGGUCUCUGGGCAUUAACUGACGCUCAGGCACGAAAGCGUGGGGAGCAAACAGG